rnacentral:rRNA from 1 species
AAAGGUAAUGUCAGGGCUCAACGCUAUUAACGUUAAGCUUUCUUCCCAAUUGAAAGUGCUUUACAACCCUAAGGCCUUCUUCACACACGCGGCAUGGCUGCGUCAGGCUUUCGCCCAUUGCGCAAUAUUCCCC